rnacentral:rRNA from 1 species
UACGUAGGGGGCAAGCGUUGUCCGGAUUUAUUGGGCGUAAAGAGCGUGUAGGCGGCUUGGUAGGUCCGCUGUGAAAACUCGAGGCUCAACCUCGAGAUGUCGGCGGAAACCACUUGGCUAGAGUCCGGAAGAGGAGAGUGGAAUUCCCGGUGUAGCGGUGAAAUGCGCAGAUAUCGGGGAAGAACACCUAUGGCGAAGGCAGCUCUCUGGGGACGGGUACUGACGCUGAGACGCGAAAGCGUGGGGAGCGAACAGG